rnacentral:rRNA from 1 species
GCCUAAUACAUGCAAGUCGAACGCUUUUUCUUUCACCGGAGCUUGCUCCACCGAAAGAAAAGGAGUGGCGAACGGGUGAGUAACACGUGGGUAACCUGCCCAUCAGAAGGGGAUAACACUUGGAAACAGGUGCUAAUACCGUAUAACAAUCGAAACCGCAUGGUUUCGGUUUGAAAGGCGCUUUUGCGUCACUGAUGGAUGGACCCGCGGUGCAUUAGCUAGUUGGUGAGGUAACGGCUCACCAAGGCAACGAUGCAUAGCCGACCUGAGAGGGUGAUCGGCCACAUUGGGACUGAGACACGGCCCAAACUCCUACGGGAGGCAGCAGUAGGGAAUCUUCGGCAAUGGACGGAAGUCUGACCGAGCAACGCCGCGUGAGUGAAGAAGGUUUUCGGAUCGUAAAACUCUGUUGUUAGAGAAGAACAAGGAUGAGAGUAGAAUGUUCAUCCCUUGACGGUAUCUAACCAGAAAGCCACGGCUAACUACGUGCCAGCAGCCGCGGUAAUACGUAGGUGGCAAGCGUUGUCCGGAUUUAUUGGGCGUAAAGCGAGCGCAGGCGGUUUCUUAAGUCUGAUGUGAAAGCCCCCGGCUCAACCGGGGAGGGUCAUUGGAAACUGGGAAACUUGAGUGCAGAAGAGGAGAGUGGAAUUCCAUGUGUAGCGGUGAAAUGCGUAGAUAUAUGGAGGAACACCAGUGGCGAAGGCGGCUCUCUGGUCUGUAACUGACGCUGAGGCUCGAAAGCGUGGGGAGCAA